GAUGAACGCUGGCGGCGUGCCUAAUACAUGCAAGUCGAGCGAAUGGAUUAAGAGCUUGCUCUUAUGAAGUUAGCGGCGGACGGGUGAGUAACACGUGGGUAACCUGCCCAUAAGACUGGGAUAACUCCGGGAAACCGGGGCUAAUACCGGAUAACAUUUUGAACCGCAUGGUUCAAAAUUGAAAGGCGGCUUCGGCUGUCACUUAUGGAUGGACCCGCGUCGCAUUAGCUAGUUGGUGAGGUAACGGCUCACCAAGGCAACGAUGCGUAGCCGAACUGGGAGGGUGAUCGGCCACAAUGGGACUGAGACACGGCCCAGACUCCUACGGGAGGCAGCAGUAGGGAAUCUUCCGCAAUGGACGAAAGUCUGACGGAGCAACGCCGCGGGAGUGAUGAAGGCUUUCGGGUCGUAAAACUCUGUUGUUAGGGAAGAACAAGUGCUAGUUGAAUAAGCUGGCACCUUGACGGUACCUAACCAGAAAGCCACGGCUAACUACGUGCCAGCCGCCGCGGUAA
rnacentral:rRNA from 1 species